GCGGAGGUAGCCAAGUCUGGUCAAAGGCGCAGGACUCAAGAUCCUGUCCCUCAGUGGGUUCGUCGGUUCAAACGGCCCUUUCUUAAAAGAAAGCGCCGGCGGAAAGAACAUUAUACGUCGGUAGAAUCGGCCUGGAAUUCCGGCCCUCCGCA
rnacentral:tRNA from 1 species